rnacentral:lncRNA from 1 species
UGAGAGUGGAAGAGGUGAUCUUCAAACUUAAAGAGACGAAAUAAGCUGAAAGUGCAAUUUCUUCAACCCUUAGCCUCUACGCCUGAAUCAUGAUCUUGUAGCAGAACUUGAGAAUAUGCCAGGGACGCUUUUAAGUAUAUUCAUGGAGAUGAUGAUGAAAUUAUGGACUAAUUUGGAGUAUGAUAAUAACUUAAAAACCAUUUCAAGAAGUGUAUUAGAAAAAGAAUAUGAGCCAUAAAGGCAUUACACUUUAGCAUGAUUAGGACGUAUGAAGUGUAGUCCUUUAACUUUCAUUAUAUUCUUCAUUAUUAGACGGGUUUGUACUAUAUUUAUUUUUGUUAUUAAUAAAGUAUGCUACCUAAAAUGAUGUAAUUAGGAAAAGAAUUAACUCAAUGAUAAAAAAUUUGAUCGCUAAGAAAAAGUUGAUUGACGUGAUUCAACACGAUCCAAUAUGAAUAAUGCCUAUGGGUCGAGUUCGACCAUUAAAAUUUUCAUCGUUAGAUAAUGUGGAAUUUAUUAACAAAGCUCAGCAUUUAAAAAUGAAUGCAUUAAGAAG